CUCCCUAGUUUUGUGACAUGUGUACUAUAACUUAACAGGAGUUUAACUCUGUUAACUCUCUUUUAGCAUUUUUUUUUUCCUUUAAUUAAAAGAAUUAAAAUAUUUAUAUUAGAAUACACGUUUGACAAAAACACUUUGCACGCCGUUUCAUCUUCUACGCUACACUUCAACCCCUACAUCUUCUCUGCACUGCAAAACUCAGCCACUUCAUCUUCUCUACUCUACGAAACUCAGCCCCUGCAUAUGGUUUUCUAGUUUGCACGUUGGUUGCUAGUUCAUCAGGAUAUGAAUAUGGAAAAUAAUUGCAUGGAAGAUGGAGAAGGUGAAACAAGCACUGUCUUGAACAUUUCAGAAGGUGAAAGCAACAAAAAGUCAUCCCAAGCUAUGAAAGGCACAAUCACCAUUGGAAGGAGAAUUUGGGUUGUUUAGCUCUCAAUUCACAGGUACCGGGGCCAAAAGUUCUAGUGUUGAAGUAGAUCCACCUUUUUCAAUUGACAAGAGUCACCAAGCGUCAUAAUGUUGAAUUUGGGUUGUUUAGCUCUCAAUUGUUGACAAGGGUUCCAUAAUUUGUUACAACUCUGUUUUGAUUUAGAACAAGUUUGUUAUGUUUGUCCUGUCUUGGCAUUUGAACUUAUUCUGAUAUUUGGCA